rnacentral:rRNA from 1 species
UGUCUAUUUGAAGUUAUUUAUAGUCUAGCCUGCUCAGUGACAUUAAAGGUGUUAAAUAGCCGCGGUAUCCUGACCGUGCAAAGGUAGCAUAAUCAUUAGUUUUUUAAUUGAGAACUUGUAUGAAGGGUUGGACAAAGAAAAAGCUGUCUCUUUAAUUAAGAUUGAAAUUAACCUCUAAGUGAAAAGGCUUAGAUUGUCUAGAGGGACGAUAAGACCCUAUAAAGCUUUAUAAUGUUAAAAAUUCUAUGUAUUUUAUCUUAUAGAAAUGAGUUUUAAACCAUUUAUUGAGUUGGGGCGACAAAGGUAUAAUUUAAAGUAACUGCCGAUAAAUGUUACAAUUAUGUUUGUAUUAAAUAAUGUAUAGUUGAUCCCUUUUAAGGAUUAGGAGAUCAAGUUACUUUAGGGAUAACAGCGUAAUUUCACCUGAGAGUUCUUAUCAAAGGAGAAGUUUGCGACCUCGAUGUUGAAUUAAAAUGUCUUUAUAGUGCAGCAGCUAUAAAAGAAG